rnacentral:hammerhead_ribozyme from 1 species
AUCCAGCCAACGAGUCCCAAAUAGGAUGAAAUGAACGUCCUGGAU